rnacentral:tRNA from 1 species
GACGAAGUGUCGAUGUUGACCUGCCCUGUCAAGGCAGAGAUCGCCGGUUCGAAUCCGGUCGGGGUCGCCA